rnacentral:rRNA from 1 species
UUUAUUUUUAAUAAAAAUAAUUUUAUUAAUAUUUAUUUUGAGUAUAUUUUAUAGAAAAAAUUUAAGUUAAUAAUAGUUUAGUUGUAUUGUAAAAGAUUAUUGAAAUAAUAUAUUAUUUAUUUAAAAGUAAAAUUAAUUUUUUGUACCUUGUGUAUCAGGGUUUAUUAAAUAAAUAUUAAUAAUUUUAAUUUUCUCGAUUUUAAGAGAGCUAAUAGAUUAUUUUUUUUAUUGUAAAAAAAAUAUUUAUAAUAAUUUAUUAGUAGUGAAAUGUUAUUCGUUCUUAAAUAUAUCUAGUUUAUUUAGAAAUGAAUUUAAUUCAGGUAUUUUAUUUUUAUUAUAUUAAUUUUUUAAUAUAAUAAAUUUUAAUAUUAAUAAUUAAAGGGAUGAGCUUUUAAUUAAAAAUUUAUAAAUAAAAUAAAAUAAUUUAAAAAAUGUAAGUUUAGAAAUAGCUAUCAUUAAUAAUUUGUUAUAAUUAAUUUAAUUUUUUAUAUUAUUUUAUAUUAGUUUAAAUUUUUUAUAAAUAAAUAAUUUUUAAUUUUUAAAAAUUAGUUAUAAUGAUAAAAUUAGUAUAUAAAAAAUAUUUGUAUAAUAAUUUAUUAUAGAUUAUUUAAAGGAAUUCGGCAAAAAUUUUACUCGCCUGUUUAACAAAAACAUGUCUUUUUGAGUUUUAUAUAAAGUCUAGCCUGCCCACUGAAAGAUUUUAAAUGGCCGCAGUAAUUUGACUGUGCAAAGGUAGCAUAAUCAUUAGUUUUUUAAUUAAAAGCUUGUAUGAAGGGUUGGACGAAGUAAAAUCUGUCUCUAUUUAAUUUAAUAUAGAAUUUAAUUUUUAAGUUAAAAAGCUUAAAUUUAUAUAAAAGACGAGAAGACCCUAUAGAUCUUUAUAAUUUAUUUAGUAUAAUUAAUUAAGAUUAAUUUAAAUUUUAUUAAUAUAAUUAUUUUAUUGGGGUAAUAGAAAGAUUAAAAAAAUUCUUUUUUUUUAUUUACAUUUAUUUAUGAGUUUAAUGAUCCAUUUUUAGUGAUUAUAAGAUUAAGUUACCUUAGGGAUAACAGCGUAAUUUUUUUAGAGAGUUCAUAUCGAUAAAAAAGUUUGCGACCUCGAUGUUGGAUUAAAAAUUAAUUUAGGUGUAGAAGCUUAAAAUUUUGGUCUGUUCGACCAUUAAAUUUUUACAUGAUCUGAGUUCAGACCGGCGUAAGCCAGGUCGGUUUCUAUCUUUAUUUAAUUAAAAUAUUUUAGUACGAAAGGACCAGAUAUUUGAUAUAUUUAUAUUUAUAUUUUUGAAUAUU